rnacentral:rRNA from 4 species
CGAUGCGUUGAGCUAACCGAUACUAAUGAACCGUGAGGCUUAACCUUACAACGCCGAAG